AGUUUGCAUGCAGCUGGCACAUAUAUUCACCAGAAACUGAUUGACUAUGAUUGUGGGUCGCAAGCAAAGGAAUGCUAACCGCGGUGGUGGUGGUGAUUGAAGAGCCCUUAAUCAAUUCGGCCCUGUAGAUUGGAGCAGCAACCUGGGAUAUUGCACCAUCUAGCUCCGUCUAUCUGAUUCAUCUUCUUUUCUUGGUCUAUCAAUUGGAGGAAUCUACAGAUUCGUGAAUAUGUUCCUGACCUCGCACAAUCGAUAGUCGGUCUGAUCUCGUCCUCCAAUGACCAAGAGUUCCGAGACGAAUGUGUGGUGCCCCUCGCGUAACAUAGGGACAUGGCAGAAAGUAGCAAGUCCACAAGUUGAUCUAAGAUGUUCCGGUGAUCGCUUUUGUUCAUAACAUGGUAGAUACAUUUUGUUCAUAUGGAAGUUGAUGCCGGCUUGGUGAUUGAAGGAUUGGUCUCUUUCAUAAUACUCCCUCUGUACCUAAAUACUUGUAGUUGGGGGAAACUUGACACGUCUUGUAUGUCGACUUAUGUAUUACCUUCAUGGUUGUAGCAAACUUGAGUGAAGAUAACAAAUGUUCAA